UUUAAUGUAGAAAAAACGAAUUUUACCUUCACUUUAUUGCCCUCUGCUGUAGAAGCGUGUGCCUGCGUCUCCGGCUCGGCUCGGCGCACGCGGCUCUGCAGAGGAGCAUCCGCUCUGGUGCCGUCGGUACCCGGGCGGGCCGGCGCGCGGCUCSGCUGCUCGGCUGCGGUGAGUCCCGGGGGGCCGGUGCUGCUGCCGCGCUCGGGGGGACCGAACGGGCUUUGGAGGAUGUCAYGGGAGGUGGCUGAGUGCUUUCGUAAGGCCACCUCCUUUUUAUUUAAAAAUAAGCAAAUAGRGUAUUCAGAAAACGUGGGAAAGUGCAAUGCAAGGUAUCUUUAAAAAUAAUACGAUGUUAUGGUGAAGCAGAUAUUAACAAUAUUAAGGAGAGGAAAAAUAAGAUAUACAACUCUCUUUAAAAACUAAAAAAAARUAUAAAUAUUCCAGUGAGAUUAUAAAUUAGCAAGAGUUUUUAAGUUUUAUAAACUCAUGAUGGAAAAAAUACCCUCUUUUUCUUUUUUUUCCCCAGAAAUUGCCUGGUUUGUCUCGGAUCAGCACCACUUCCCCCAGUCUCACAGCCUGUCAGGAGCCCACCGAAUGCUGCUGUUGGGUCGUCUCCGGGAGCAGCACAGCCAAGCGAUCCAGAGCAGAGCCUCCGUGGGACAGGCUUGCCUGAUGCAGACUGUGAUUAGAGCUGGCGCAAAAAUAUGGGAGACAAAUGAAAAGUGAUGGAGUURCCCCAGUUUCUUGCUGCCUGAACCAGCAGAGGUUGGGGCUGAGCCUGCCAGAAGCAGGGUCUGACGGCUGGAGACCGCCCUGCCGCAGGCCAUCACCAGCUGCGUCCCGCCUGGAAGCCGGAUCACUUGCUGAGCCCUUUGCCUGACGAAUUCAAGGGCCGUUUGCUGUCAGAAAUCUUCUCCCCUGCAAGUACUUAGGCAGUGCUGAAAUCACCUCUUUUGUUGGUUAAACUCAUGGAGCUUGGUUAGGCUUCACUGCAAGGCGAGCUCUCUGGACCUCCAGUCACUCCUGCCACUCUUGUCCUGAAACCUUCCUGGUUUGUCAACAGCCUUUUAAAAAGGUUAUGCGCUUUUAAAAAGUGUUUAUGAGGACUGUUAUUAUAGCACCUGGACAYCAAAACCGGCUCCAAAAAGAUGCUUGACUUUACAAACUAUUUUUGCAAAAUAUCACCAUGUUGGUAUAUAGAGAUAUUCUUUGGUUAUGUGCUAAAUAUAAUAGUAUGCUUAGUUCAUACUACUAAUUAAAAAAAAAAAAAAGCGGUAUGUCCAAUACAUCUCCGAAACAGCAGACGAUGAAUAUUUCUGCGAUGCAACAGCUCUAUAUUUUUUAGUUGGGGAGGGCAACAGUCCACAAGCCCUUUAGGAGCUCGAGUUCUUUCCCGCUUCCAAAGAGCCCGAUGCUGAGCUUUCCAUCCGGCAGAGGUG
rnacentral:lncRNA from 1 species